rnacentral:lncRNA from 1 species
UUACUUUUAGUAUUUAGUUUUAUUUUAGUAGUUUAUUUUAAUUAAUAGUGAUUUUUAUAUUUUAUAAAUACAUUAUACUUUUUAGAAUAAGAUUUGGGAUUUUAGCUAAAAGAGUUUGAACAAUCCCAAAACUAAUUUCAUAUUUGAAUUUUCUUAAGCAAUUUUGGACCAACCCAAUUACCCUUGGCCCAAUUCAGACCUUAGCCCAUAAAUCCAAGCCCAAUACCCAUUAAACCCAUUAAACCCAAAAAUAACCUAAUAUCCUAAAGUUAAAAACCUGAUAUUCUCCAACACCUUAGACCUAAGCAGCGAAAAUCCACUGUUUCUUCUUCUCUAUACCGACAGCUCUUUCUUCUUCAAUUAAGACAAAUGGUCCCCCAAAGCUAGCCAUGGAAACACAACCAAAAGCUUCACAACAAACAGCAUAAACAUUAACACACCCGAAAUCCAGCCCAUAAACACUGCAACUCAACUCCAUUAAACCACCAAAACACUAGCUACAAUCUCAUCCUCCUUAACCCAGAAACACUGCUAAUACAACACUAAAAUGAGUCAGAAAUAGCAUCACAAACUGCUGCUAAUUCCAGCUCAAAAUAGCCCUCAAACUAUCCCCAAACCCAGCAACCAUGAGCUGAAAAACAACCCCAAUUACCCAGCGAAAAUCAACAAAAAAAAGACCUCAAACAGCUCCCAAAUCGACCUGAAAAACUGCCCCAAACCCUGCUGAAAUUCCCCUACUAAAUAACCAUGAAACGAGUUGAAGAUUACAUAAUCCAGCUCCAAAAAUACUGCAAAUCAGCUGAAAAACAGACCUAAAUACCCCUUCUUCUACACACUUGAGGACCCCCUUCUUCACAAAAAGAGAACGGCAGAUCUCAACACCAAUUCAAGAGAUAGUCGUACCCCCUAGAAAAAUUCCUUCUUCUUUAAAAUUCACUAACAGCAGCCACACAUACACACACACAAAGGGGUGGGAGCUAGACAAGAAGAAAAUAAGAAAGGAAUAGAGCACAAAAUUGGGGAUGAAAGAGUGACUGUGCACAUUUUCAAGAGAGAACCUUUUCCUUUCUUUUUCAAUAAACAUACACACUCACAAACACACAUGGGAUAGAAGAUAGGACAGCUUCAAUAAAUUAAAAACAGAGAAGGAUUACACAGUGAGGAUAAGUUUCGGGCUAGAUUUAAGUUUGAUCAAGGUUGUCGUUGAGGUCUUGAGUUGCUGGUUCCGUCUGUGUUCGCUGGCGAAAGUGCCAGUCAUGAGUCGUCAAGUUGUUUAACUUCUUGUAAUUCCAAUUUUCAUUGAUUUAUACCAAAGGUCCGUUCUUCCAAUUAUUUUACUAAUUUAUUCUAAUAAUUAUCAUGUUGCCUUAGUUUGUUGCUUGAGUUAGUGUUCAAUCCAUCUCCAAUUUUUGUUCUUUUGUUCAAUUCUUUACAGUUAUUGCGUUUUCAUGCCCAUAUUUCGUUUAAUGACUACUAGAUUUAUGUAGCAGUCGGAAUAUUUAUUGACGCAUGCUAAAUGUUGUAUGUCUUGGUUAGUCGUUGUCAAAACUUGGUCAUUUAUGUUAUGCGAUUCGUAAUAUGUACAAAAAUAACGAGUGCACAACAUCGUGACUCGUUCAAAUAAAUUCCAUAAAUCCUAAAAAACGGUUUGAAAUUCAAAAAUGCACAUAGGUUUAGAAUGUGUAAUAAAUCAGAUAAUAAGGUCAAUUAUUAAUAGUUGAGCGACCGUGCUAAAACCACGAAACUCGGGAGUGCCUCACACCUUCUCCUAGGUUAACAGAAUUUCUUACCCGGUCUUCUGUGUUCACGGACCAUAAAUAAGAGUCAAUUUCCUCGAUUUGGGAUUUAAAAUAAACCGGUGACUUGGGACACCAUAAAAUAUCCCAAGUGGCGACUCUAAAAUAAAUAAAUAAUCUCAUUUCGAAUAUUAUCACUUUAAUUGAAAAAACUCCCUUAUAUCCGCCCUCAGGUAAAAAGGAGGUAUGACACUCGUCACUACUCCACCGAGGUUAGCCUUGAUACUUACUGGGCACCGCUAUGGUGUGCUCAUUCUACACUUCUGUACUUUUCUUUGUACAUAUCCAGGUAUUCGAUCAUUAGUAGCUGUGUGGAUCGUUGCUGUGGAGACUCAAGGUAAACCUGCUGCAGCGUUUACAGGCCUCAGAAUAACCUUCUAUUCUACUUAUUUCCAUUGUUUACUUUUGUUCUAGAAUAGUGAGGUAUUCAUUAUGUAUAACUACUCCUAGAAAGGCUUAUGACUUGU